rnacentral:rRNA from 1 species
AACGAACGCUGGCGGCAGGCUUAACACAUGCAAGUCGAACGCCCCGCAAGGGGAGUGGCCGACGGGUGAGUACCGCGUGGGAACAUACCCUUUUCUACGGAAUAGCUCUGGGAAACUGGAAUUAAUACCGUAUACGCCCUACGGGGGAAAGAUUUAUCGGGGAAGGAUUGGCCCGCGUUGGAUUAGCUAGUUGGUGGGGUAAAGGCCUACCAAGGCGACGAUCCAUAGCUGGUCUGAGAGGAUGAUCAGCCACAUUGGGACUGAGACACGGCCCAAACUCCUACGGGAGGCAGCAGUGGGGAAUAUUGGACAAUGGGCGCAAGCCUGAUCCAGCCAUGCCGCGUGAGUGAUGAAGGCCGUAGGGUUGUAAAGCUCUUUCAACGAUGAAGAUAAUGACGGUAGUAGGAGAAGAAGCCCCGGCUAACUUCGUG